rnacentral:rRNA from 1 species
CAGUCGCCGCGGGAAAACGAAGGGGGCUAGCGUUGUUCGGAAUUACUGGGCGUAAAGCGCACGUAGGCGGAUAUUUAAGUCAGGGGUGAAAUCCCAGAGCUCAACUCUGGAACUGCCUUUGAUACUGGGUAUCUUGAGUAUGGAAGAGGUGAGUGGAAUUCCGAGUGUAGAGGUGAAAUUCGUAGAUAUUCGGAGGAACACCAGUGGCGAAGGCGGCUCACUGGUCCAUUACUGACGCUGAGGUGCGAAAGCGUGGGGAGCAAACAGGAUUAGAUACCCCGGUAGUCCCUGUCUCUUAUAC